CCUACGGGUGGCAGCAGUGAGGAAUAUUGGUCAAUGGGCGCGAGCCUGAACCAGCCAAGUAGCGUGAGUGAUGAAGGUAAUUUUAUUGUAAAGCUCUUUUCUUUGGAACGAAUAAAUGACGGUACCAAAGGCAUAAGCCCCGGCUAACUACGUGCCAGCAGCCGCGGUAAUACGUAGGGGGCAAGCGUUGUUCGGAAUGACUGGGCGUAAAGGGUGUGUAGGUGGUUUGAUAAGUUAGAUGUGUAAUACCCAGGGCUUAACUCGGGUGCUGCAUCUAAAACUGUUAGACUUGAGUACUGGAGAGGAUAGUGGAAUUCCUAGUGUAGCGGUGGAAUGCGUAGAUAUUAGGAGGAACAUCAGUGGCGAAGGCGACUAUCUGGACAGCAACUGACACUGAGGCACGAAAGCGUGGGGAGCAAACAGGAUUAGAUACCCCAGUAGUC
rnacentral:rRNA from 1 species